GAUGAACGCUGGCGGCGUGCCUAAUACAUGCAAGUCGAGCGAACGGACGAGAAGCUUGCUUCUCUGAUGUUAGCGGCGGAAGGGUGAGUAACACGUGGAUAACCUACCUAUAAGACUGGGAUAACUUCGGGAAACCGUAGCUAAUACCGGAUAAUAUUUUGAACCGCAUGGUUCAAAAGUGAAAGACGGUCUUGCUGUCACUUAUAGAUGGAUCCGCGCUGCAUUAGCUAGUUGGUAAGGUAACGGCUUACCAAGGCAACGAUGCAUAGCCGACCUGAGAGGCUGAUCUGCCACACUGGAACUGAGACACGGUCCAGACUCCUACGGGAGGCAGCAGUAGGGAAUCUUCCGCAAUGGGCGAAAGCCUGACGGAGCAACGCCGCGUGAGUGAUGAAGGUCUUCGGAUCGUAAAACUCUGUUAUUAGGGAAGAACAUAUGUGUAAGUAACUGUGCACAUCUUGACGGUACCUAAUCAGAAAGCCACGGCUAACUACGUG
rnacentral:rRNA from 1 species